GUUAUACACUUGAUCUCUGAACUUCAGGUAAGUUCACCUGUUGACAAGUUUAUGUGCUGAUGCC
rfam:Theobroma cacao cultivar Matina 1-6 chromosome 8, whole genome shotgun sequence.